GGGUUUUCCCCCAGGGCAUUUGAGUGGUCACAUCGCCGACAAACCCCAUGGGGUCACCUCGAGACCGUGCUGGGAUCCCUCUGCAUCCCCCGUGCGCUGGGGGAACCCCAAACAGGAGCGCUCCUGCGCAGGAUACGUGAGCAUGGAGGGGCCGAACCUGCCCCUGCAUCUCCCCCAGCCCCUUCCCCGUGACAUUUCCCCAGUGGUGCAGCUCCCCAAGCCCCCAGCUCGCCAAACGGGACCGCAGAGGGGCGCAGUAAGGGGAAAAUCCUCGCAUCGCCGUGUUUGAGGCCCAGAGAGGAGAUCCGCCAGCCCGAGUGAUCCGCCAGCCCCCACAAAGGAACAGGGGACAGCUCUCUAUGGGAUGCUUCAUGUCCUUGUUGGCGUAAUCGUGUGGAUAUAAUUUGAUUAUCCCUCCCUAGGUGUUUAGCAUCACAAAGGGAAAAGCUGCCUCCGAGCUGAGCCACCGCUGUGAGACUGGUCUGGGGGAAAAAGGGUCGGAAACUGGGCUGGGAAGGCUGCAGCGUGGUUUGCAGCACCAAAAUAUCCCGUGUCAGCACAUCGCUGGGUCCCCAGCUCCCGGCCGUGCCUGUAUGAGGAGUGAAACAGACUGCUGGCCUUUGGGGUUUUGCGUGCUGGUGUCUGUGAGGAUGAGCAAGACCUCGGCCAACCCUCUGAAGAGGGCACCUGGCCAGCUGAUGUGCAGCAGAUCCCAAAUCAGAACUGCUGCAUGUGGGGGGAAGCCAUAAAAACGUUGAACCUGGGACUAGCAAGAGGGGAAAAAAAAAUCCUUUGUGCGUUGGAACUGGUGGGAGGGCUUGUGGGGUGGGAUGGUGGGCGUGGGGAUGGGGUGGUGGACGUGGGGAUGGGGUGAUGGGCAUGGAGAUGGGAUGCUCGGUGUGGAAAUGGGGUUUAUGGGCAUGGAGAUGGGGUUAUGGGCAUGGAGAUGGGGUGCUGGCUGUGGAAAUGGGGUGCUGGGUGUGGAAAUGGGGUGCCGGACCAUCCAUGUCCUUCCAGGCUGCCGUGGGGAGGAGGAGGCUUCUUGCAAGGGAGCGAAGGAGACGGCUCGGCGAGGCACUCAGGACUGCUGGGCUAAGCUGGGGGUUUAGCGCGGGGAUAAGCGGCUUUAGGAGCAGCGAACGGGGGAAUCACACUCACGGAAGUCAGCAAGGGAAACCAAACAGUGUCACCGGUUACGUAAGGGAUCAGCAAGUCGGUGGCGUUUCAGGCGGCCGCCGCGUGCGCUGCCCCAGGGUAACGCACGAGCGGCUUUUGGCUCGCCCUCAUCAGGUCUCGUUAAGGAGCUGGAGGAAGAUGAAGGGGACACACGGGGAAGCCAGCAGGCCCAGAGCCAGGGUGGCACCGUGGGACGUGAGCCCUCUGCAGCACCACAUCCCGGCAUGGCCGCGCCAUGGGGGUCUCAUGGGGGUGGCCCCUCGCUGUCCUCCAGCAGGCCCCUCGGCCUCGCCUCCCCUGCUGUGGGCAUUUCGGAACGAGCUUUCCCAGAAAAGCAAUUUAGAUUGA
rnacentral:lncRNA from 1 species